rnacentral:rRNA from 1 species
GACGAACGCUGGCGGCGUGCCUAAUACAUGCAAGUAGAACGCUGAAGAGAGGAGCUUGCUCUUCUUGGAUGAGUUGCGAACGGGUGAGUAACGCGUAGGUAACCUGCCUUGUAGCGGGGGAUAACUAUUGGAAACGAUAGCUAAUACCGCAUAACAAUGGAUGACCCAUGUCAUUUAUUUGAAAGGGGCAAAUGCUCCACUACAAGAUGGACCUGCGUUGUAUUAGCUAGUAGGUGAGGUAACGGCUCACCUAGGCGACGAUACAUAGCCGACCUGAGAGGGUGAUCGGCCACACUGGGACUGAGACACGGCCCAGACUCCUACGGGAGGCAGCAGUAGGGAAUCUUCGGCAAUGGGGGCAACCCUGACCGAGCAACGCCGCGUGAGUGAAGAAGGUUUUCGGAUCGUAAAGCUCUGUUGUAAGUCAAGAACGAGUGUGAGAGUGGAAAGUUCACACUGUGACGGUAGCUUACCAGAAAGGGACGGCUAACUACGUGCCAGCAGCCGCGGUAAUACGUAGGUCCCGAGCGUUGUCCGGAUUUAUUGGGCGUAAAGCGAGCGCAGGCGGUUUGAUAAGUCUGAAGUUAAAGGCUGUGGCUCAACCAUAGUUCGCUUUGGAAACUGUCAAACUUGAGUGCAGAAGGGGAGAGUGGAAUUCCAUGUGUAGCGGUGAAAUGCGUAGAUAUAUGGAGGAACACCGGUGGCGAAAGCGGCUCUCUGGUCUGUAACUGACGCUGAGGCUCGAAAGCGUGGGGAGCGAACAGGAUUAGACACCCUGGUAGUCCACGCCGUAAACGAUGAGUGCUAGGUGUUGGAUCCUUUCCGGGAUUCAGUGCCGCAGCUAACGCAUUAAGCACUCCGCCUGGGGAGUACGACCGCAAGGUUGAAACUCAAAGGAAUUGACGGGGGCCCGCACAAGCGGUGGAGCAUGUGGUUUAAUUCGAAGCAACGCGAAGAACCUUACCAGGUCUUGACAUCCCGAUGCUAUUUCUAGAGAUAGAAAGUUACUUCGGUACAUCGGUGACAGGUGGUGCAUGGUUGUCGUCAGCUCGUGUCGUGAGAUGUUGGGUUAAGUCCCGCAACGAGCGCAACCCCUAUUGUUAGUUGCCAUCAUUCAGUUGGGCACUCUAGCGAGACUGCCGGUAAUAAACCGGAGGAAGGUGGGGAUGACGUCAAAUCAUCAUGCCCCUUAUGACCUGGGCUACACACGUGCUACAAUGGUUGGUACAACGAGUUGCGAGUCGGUGACGGCAAGCUAAUCUCUUAAAGCCAAUCUCAGUUCGGAUUGUAGGCUGCAACUCGCCUACAUGAAGUCGGAAUCGCUAGUAAUCGCGGAUCAGCACGCCGCGGUGAAUACGUUCCCGGGCCU